rnacentral:rRNA from 1 species
CCUACGGGUGGCUGCAGUGGGGAAUAUUGGACAAUGGGCGAAAGCCUGAUCCAGCCAUGCCGCGUGUGUGAAGAAGGCCUUCGGGUUGUAAAGCACUUUCAGUGGGGAAGAAAGCCUUGGGGCUAAUACCCUCGAGGAAGGACAUCACCCACAGAAGAAGCACCGGCUAACUCCGUGCCAGCAGCCGCGGUAAUACGGAGGGUGCGAGCGUUAAUCGGAAUUACUGGGCGUAAAGCGCGCGUAGGCGGUCUGAUAAGCCGGUUGUGAAAGCCCCGGGCUCAACCUGGGAACGGCAUCCGGAACUGUCAGGCUAGAGUGCAGGAGAGGAAGGUAGAAUUCCCGGUGUAGCGGUGAAAUGCGUAGAGAUCGGGAGGAAUACCAGUGGCGAAGGCGGCCUUCUGGACUGACACUGACGCUGAGGUGCGAAAGCGUGGGUAGCAAACAGGAUUAGAUCCCCUUGUAGUC